rnacentral:rRNA from 1 species
UACGUAGGGUGCGAGCGUUAAUCGGAGUUACUGGGCGUAAAGCGUGCGCAGGCGGUAAUGUAAGACAGAGGUGAAAUCCCUGGGCUCAACCUGGGAACUGCCUUUGUGACUGCAUUGCUGGAGUGCGGCAGAGGGGGAUGGAAUUCCGCGUGUAGCAGUGAAAUGCGUAGAUAUGCGGAGGAACACCGAUGGCGAAGGCAAUCCCCUGGGCCUGCACUGACGCUCAUGCACGAAAGCGUGGGGAGCAAACA